GUUAAGUCAUCUGACCUUCAGUAUGUAUAGAAGUCUUUUAGCUUUUCGCUUCAAUCAUCAGGGAAUGAAGAGCUCCUUCAGCACAUUUUGGUCUUCGAUUCUCGACUUGCUCCACGCUUGCAAGCGUCGAGCAAAGGAGUGGGCUCAGUAUAAUAUCUCUUUUUGCAAGCCUGUUUUCUUCAUAGCAGGUUUGAUUGUGAGCCAUGCCUUUGUGGACACUGCCGUGAUAUCAAUUUUUAUCUCAUAUAUCACCGAUAAGUGGAAGCAUAAAUCUCUUCCUGUAGCUGCAGCAAUUGUGAACGUACAAGAAGGCAUUUCUACCAUUUUCAGACUUAUCGUAGUUCACAUAGCAGAUUGCUACGUAGGUCGCUUCAAAAUCGUGGCAUGCACCACUUCUUUAUACAUACUUGGAUUGGUGCUGUUGAUUUUUGUUCAUCAGCCUGGAUCAUUUGGAUUAUUUGCCUCAUUGCUAAUAACAGUGGGCAUAGCAGGUCGAGGCCCUACUCUCAAAGCAUUUCUUUCUGAUCACGUAAUCAAACCUACAGAAGCAAACACAAACAAUGUUGAUAACAAGGAGAAAGUUGAGGCCCGCACAAAUUUGUGGUGGCGUGUUGCUUGGUUUCUGGGUGCUGCGAUAGGUGUGAUAAUUUCAUCACUUUACAACUCUAAAAUAGUUUUCAUAGUUUCAGCAGGAGUGAUGGGAGUUGCUUAUGUAUUGUUUUGGUCUGGCAUCUUCUUUUACCACCCCCGUACACCAACUGGGAGCCCUCUUUCCAUUGUCUAUAGAGUUGUUACAGUCGCUGUGUUGAAAAGACAUCUAAGUUACCCUACUGAUAGCAAUGAAGUCCUUCUGUUCCCUCACAAUCCACUCUUCAGGUUCGUCAGAUAUGUUGGUCUGUGUAUGCGAGUCUCUCUUCCGCUCAAUGGAAAACUAAUUAUUGAUAAGUAUUUUACUUUCAGGUUCUUAGACAAAGCUGCAAUUCCUGAAACUUCCAAUCCCGACCAAGAAAGGCAGCAAGGGAGACUUUGCACAAAAGAAGAAGUGAAUCGAGUGAAGAAACUUCUAGCAUUGCUACCCAUGUGGACAAGCUUACUUGUCUAUGCCGUUGCAAAGGCAACAGGCUCCACUUUCUUUAUUGAGCAAAGUGACGGCUUCGAUGAUACGUUGACCAUAAAUGCUUUCCCCAUACUUGCAUCACUGGUAAGUUUCAUAGUUUCAUACUUGUUCAGUGCCUUGAUUCCCAAGCGGUGGAAGGAAAAUAAAGAAAAGCGUGAACUUGUUACUCUCUGGAGAAUUGGUCUGGGGAUGGUGUGUUCUAUAUUAUGUUGUGUUACCGCUUCCAAGGUUGAGGUUCGCAGACAGAGUCAUAAGAAGAUUAAAAUGAGCAAUUUAUGGCUAUUUCCACAGUUUACUUUGUUAGGAGUCAUGGAAGGGCUGGCUCGUGAUGGGCUAACUGAAUUUUUUUACAGUCAAGUAGAUGAAUCUAUGAAGCAUUAUGAAUCAUCAUUGAACGAUUGUAUGCUGGGUAUUGGAAAUUUCUUGAGUGUCAUGUGCGUGUUUGCGUGCAAAACCUGGAUUGGUGAUGAUGUAAACAAUAGUCGCUUGGAUAAAUAUUACCUUAUGCUAGCGGCGCUAAGCUGUGGUAACCUAUGCUUUUAUGUGCUGGUUGCGUUAGCAUAUGCAAGGAAAGAAGCUCCUCUGCAGGAUGAGGAGAUGGAUGAGGUGGAUAUUGAACUGGGUGGUGCAGAGUAUGUGACCCGUUCCACCUCCACAAACCCUGCAAUCACCAAUAUUAUGAUGGAUAAUAAGAAUCUGCGAUCGCGCUCCCUUGAAGUUAAAGGAUAUAGUAGUGAUGUCAACAACAAGAAGCUUCUCUUCCGCUUUCGCACAUUUAAAUGAGUAAUGGUUAGGAAUCAUUUGAUUCAGUUUGUGUCUUCAAAUCAAAAUAAAUGUUCAUAGAUUUAGUUUCUACAGCUUAUGUUGAAUUUAUUUAGUAGUCAAUUUAAUGUUGUAAGGUUUUAUAAUUGUAUACCUCAUCUGGUUUUAUCAAACAUUUCUGGAUAUCCCUACCUUCCUCAUCUGUCAAGAUAUGUUGCAGAAACCUUUUGUCAGGUGGAAGAAGACAAUUUAGCUGCUUUGACACCCAAUUUAUUGUUGAAAUACAAAUAUGCAAAGCCAACUCAUCCAAAUAGCACAGAUGGAUCUUGUCAAG
rnacentral:misc_RNA from 1 species